UACAGAGGUCUCAAGCGUUGUUCGGAUUCAUUGGGCGUAAAGGGUGCGUAGGUGGGUUGGUAAGUCAGUGGUGAAAUCCCCGAGCUUAACUUGGGAACUGCCAUUGAUACUAUCAGUCUUGAAUACCGUGGAGGUCGGCGGAAUAUGUCAUGUAGCGGUGAAAUGCUUAGAUAUGACAUAGAACACCAAUUGCGAAGGCAGCUGACUACGCGAGUAUUGACACUGAGGCACGAAAGCGUGGGGAUCAAACAGG
rnacentral:rRNA from 1 species